CUAUUGUCUUUUUCCUAGUUGAUGGAAAGCUGCUGGUUCUAGUGUUCCUCUAGCAUAUCAUCUGUAGUUAAUAGUGACUCCCGUUUUUAUGCUUACUAGAAAUGAAUCCAUUGAUGACAAACAAUGCAGAUGUGAUGGUGCAGGAAUCUCAAUCCAUUAAUGAUCUAGCUCUCUCUUCCCCUGAAUCCAAUAUGACAGGGAGAAUCACAGAGCUAGAUAAUUAUCCAAUAAGUGAAGCCUGUACCAAUUAACUCAUUUGGAUCCACUUUUUUCAACUUCUCAGCACACUUUACAGAUUCCCUAAAAGAUGAUGUUUGUUUGCAGAGCAUGCUAGGUCGGAAAAUGCUUGAAUUCAAACUGAGAAGUCUGGUGCUUUCGAUGCUGAAGAAACUAUUAGCUCACACUCAACCUUGACCAAAGCUUCAAACUCUGUGAGAAGUUUUUUGAUAUCUGUGUUAAAGCUUCUAUGCUGGAUAAAUAUUAAGCUUCUUUAUCUUGCCCUGUUUAUUCUAUUACCUUAAAAACUAUUUGCAGUGUGGGCCAGCCAUGGGGAUGAUAUAAGCAUCCAGUAUUCUGGUACUCCAGCUUUAAAGGGAAAUUUUGUCAGAGUAAGCAUCUGGGAUUGGAUCUUUAAAUGCCAACUGCACAAAUUUAUCUAGAGAUCAUGAUGGAUAUAGCAUACAACUAAAAAAAUGUGGUAACAGAACAGCCCAGGGGGUUCUCGCUGACGGAUGUAAUGCCCUAACAUGAUACUACUUGAACAAUUUUGUUGAUGGUACUGAACAGUGUCUGUAGCAUUUUAAUUAUGAUGGAGAAGGGAGACCCUUCACAGAAAUUAUAUACAAGGAUGCGGCCUUUGGGAAUUUCCAGAUCAGUAUGUUGUUGAGCCUACUGAUGGAUCCUGUGGUUUGUGCUUGGAGAUCAGUUUGCGUGGAUGUGUCUGUGAAACUAAUAGGUUGCUUCUUUUACUCUUUAUAAAUUUCUUCCGGACUUAAAUUAUUUAUUAAGCUAAUGAUAUGUACUUGUUUGCUAUGUUAGAUGAGGUUCCAGAGCGCAGUUCGGUUCGUGUUCCCAAAAUUCAGAAAAUAUUUGGUGUUAUAGGCAUACUAAAGCUUUUGGCUGGUAAGAACUUUUAGGAAGAACUAAAAGAUCAGGAUUUUGUUUUUUAUAUUUCAAUAGCAGGUCAGCUCUCUGACAUACAUCAAUAAAUCUUUACAUUAUCAGGAAAAAAUGUCUAUUAUAUAUGUCAAGAAUGUACCCUUUGUUGCUCAUUCUCUUGAAGAUUUUUGUUCCAUAAAAUUAUCACACACAUAUACAAAGUAUAUACCAAUGUCUUGGUCUUGCUCAAUUAUGCGUUUGACGGGU